rnacentral:rRNA from 1 species
GACGAACGCUGGCGGCGUGCUUAACACAUGCAAGUCGAACGGUGAAGCGCCUUCCUUUUUGGUGGGUGUGGAUGAGUGGCGAACGGGUGAGUAACACGUGAGUAACCUGCCCCCUUCUUCUGGAUAACCGCAUGAAAGUGUGGCUAAUACGGGAUAUUCUGGGUCUGUCGCAUGAUGGGUCUGGGAAAGAUAUUGUUUCGGUGGGGGAUGGGCUCGCGGCCUAUCAGCUUGUUGGUGGGGUGAUGGCCUACCAAGGCGGUGACGGGUAGCCGGCCUGGGAGGGUUGACGGUUCCCCUGGGACUGAGACACGGCCCAGACUCCUACGGGAGGCAGCAGUGGGGAAUAUUGCACAAUGGGCGCAAGCCUGAUGCAGCGACGCCGCGUGAGGGAUGGAGGCCUUCGGGUUGUGAACCUCUUUCGCCAGUGAAGCAGGCCUGCCUCGUUUGUGGGUGGGUUGACGGUAGCUGGAUAAGAAGCGCCGGCUAACUACGUG